CAUGCAGUCGACGGAGUUUACAGGCAGAAGUUUUCGGAUGGAAGCUUGUAAACUUAGUGGCGGACGGGUGAGUAACACGUGAGCAACCUGCCUAUCAGAGGGGGAUAACGAUUGGAAACGAUCGCUAAUACCGCAUGACAUAGCGGAACCGCAUGGUUCUGUUAUCAAAGAUUUAUCGCUGAUAGAUGGGCUCGCGUCCGAUUAGAUAGUUGGUGGGGUAACGGCCUACCAAGUCGACGAUCGGUAGCCGGACUGAGAGGUCGAACGGCCACAUUGGGACUGAGACACGGCCCAGACUCCUACGGGAGGCAGCAGUGGGGGAUAUUGCACAAUGGGGGAAACCCUGAUGCAGCGACGCCGCGUGAGGGAAGACGGUCCUCUGGAUUGUAAACCUCUGUCUUCGGGGACGAAACGAGACGGUACCCGAGGAGGAAGCCACGGCUAACUACGUGCCAGCAGCCGCGGUAAUACGUAGGUGGCAAGCGUUGUCCGGAAUUACUGGGUGUAAAGGGAGCGUAGGCGGGCAGGCAAGUCAGGCGUGAAAUAUAUCGGCUCAACCGGUAACGGCGCUUGAAACUGCAGGUCUUGAGUGAAGUAGAGGUUGGCGGAAUUCCUAGUGUAGCGGUGAAAUGCGUAGAUAUUAGGAGGAACACCAGUGGCGAAGGCGGCCAACUGGGCUUUUACUGACGCUGAGGCUCGAAAGUGUGGGGAGCAAACAGGAUUAGAUACCCUGGUAGUUCA
rnacentral:rRNA from 1 species